AUGCUCACUUUGGCAGCAGAUACACUAAAACUGGAAUGAUACAGAGAAGACUGGCAUGGCCCUUGCACAAAGAUGACCCACAAAUCCAAAAAGAAAGGAAUAUAAUG
ensembl:snRNA U6 U6 spliceosomal RNA